CUGCCUUAGCCUUCUUCACUCACUCCUACUGAUCAACUCACCCCCAUAAGCUAUUCAGCUUGUCAGUUGUUCCAUGGGUAGAGGGAGGAGGGGAUGAAAAGGAAUUAGGAUAUGCUUCUCCCUUUCACUUAAUACCUAGCAUCCUCUGCAACACUGGUACGUCCUUUAAGAAUGCCGGGAGCUCUCUUUCUCCAUUAGAGGAAUGACUUCAUAAGACUCUAGAGGUUGAGUACCAGUAGAAACCUCAUAUUUACCUGGAAGAUUACUUUUAGGAAGCUUGAAGAAUUCUCUCUUCCAACUUGGUUAAUCUGAGUUCUGUGGCACCUACAAGAGAAAUGGCUGCUUAUAUGUGACAACCUGCAGAUCUGAGCAGCAGGGGAACAAAGGCAGGGCCAACACAAUGGCACUGGUCCCGUUGAGUCCUGGGGAGUCCUCAGCUUUCAGGAGUCCCCUGAAUAUGGGGCAACCCCACAGGGAUUUCCUGUAAGAUUUUAAAUGAAGAAAGUCUUCUACUGCUGUAUAAAGAAAAAAAAAAGAAGAAGAAAGGGAUGGAUCUCACUAUGUUGCCAAGGCUGGCUCGAGAACUCCUGGGCUCAACCAAUCCUCCUGCCUCAGCCUCCCAAAUAGCUGGGACUACAGGUGUGUGCCGCCACUCUCCCCUUUUUAUUGGAAGAGAGUUCAUAGAGGACUGAGCACCUAUUUAGUAUAUGUUUCUAGGUUUGGUUACAAUUUGUUAAGAAAAGUAGAUUUGCAAACUCACUACUUUUGAAAUAUUAAAAAUACAUGCCAUGAAUUUCUACUUCAGCACAGAUUUGGACAACCACCUUAUGUAUGGAAAGAAAAUUUACUGAAUUUAGUGCUAGGCAUAGAUGAGAAUUUCUACUUGAAAAAAGCCCUUAAAACUUUUCCUGCUGUACUGUUCAAUUAUUAAUAUAUUUAAUGCACAGACGCAGUUCACAAUGUGGACUGAUGUGAACUUGUGUUGCAUUGGCUUUAUAAAUUAGGACAGUUGAUUUUACUUAUCCUCCUGAUUUGCCCAGAUAUGAUCUCUAUAAAAAAUCACAGAAAUUUUUGUAAAAUAAUCUUGCAGUUCUUGUUUUUGCUCUUUUUCUUAUUUUUUUCUCAACAAAAAAUUAUUUCUGAUGUUCUAUUUUCACUUAAAUGAAAACAUUCCAUGGAAGAAGUACAAAGAAGUAAUGCUUUGAAAUGACAGUCCCUGAAUUUUCAAGAAAGCCAGAUUCUUCCACAUCCAUAGUCUUCCUUUGUCCUGUUAAUAAUCCUCAUGAUGAGAGGAAAGUUACUGCCUAGUGUUUUAUGACUGGGAGAAUGGAGUAACAAGAAUCUAAGUGGUCAGAAGUAGAGAUUGUCAAGAAUACAGGCUCUCAGGUUUUGGUGUCUGUGCUCCAUCAGCCAAACUUUGCCCUUUUCUAGAAAAGACCCAAGUGGUGAAGUCACUAAUUUUGUCAUUGUUAUUAUGUACUGGAGAAAAAUUAAAUGAUCCACCUCUUUAUCAUAUACUGAACUUUCAUGAUAAGUAACACAUGUGGAGUAACCAAGGCUUAGCCAACUAGGGAUUAAUGUUAGAAAAUGAAUUUUGCUUUCUCUAUACUUGUUUAGAAAUAGCAAAAGUUCUGUAAGGGGAUGGCUAGGGGCCAAUGGGAGAGGUGAAGGACCUUUAUCACAGUAUUUGUUUGGUCCCCAUCAAAGUUCCUGGGUGCCAUGGAAAAGUGUUUUUCUUUUCUGGACCCUUUACUUCAUCUGCAAAAUGGUGAGGCAGUUAAACUCUCUGGCUUGCUUUUAUCUUACAGGCAUUCAGUGAGGUAUAUAACCUGCAAUAUUUCUUAAAAGUUGUAUAGGUUUUGCUGACCUGAAUUCUUUCAUGUUCUUCUUCAUCCUACAUGUGUAACUAUUCCAUGUUAUCGGUCCCCACGAUGAAAGAUAAUGGAAAAACAAUGCCUGUCUUUGUCUGACUCAAAAAGCAUGCUGAAUGGACUUUUCAUCCAUGUGGCUGUGAUCAGUUCCUAAAGCAGAGGAAUCUGCAGCCUAAUGACACAUCAGGAAUUGAUGGAACCCCAGCAGACAGCUUCUAUGAGGAGAUUAGGACUCUCAGAAGAGACACCAGAGGCGUGGCCACACAGAGAAAAAGAUCAUGUGGGGACACAGUGAAAAGGCAGCCAUCAUAAGCCACAGAGAGAGGACUCAGAAGAAACCAACUCUGCUGACACCUUCAUCUUGAACUUCUAGCCUCUAGAACUGUGAAAAAACAAAUUUCUGUUGUUAAGACACCCGGUCUGUGGUAUUUUGUUAAGACAGCCCUAGCAAACUAACACAAUUUUGUACACUAAAUAAAGUCCAAUUCAAUUUUAAUUUUAUAGAAACUGAAACAAAUAAUUUAAAGAUUUACUUAGUAAAUUACUUCAGAUUGGGAUCAAAUGUGUACAUGAAUUAUGAAAAUGUAAGAAAUGGAUAUUUAAAUAAGUAUACCAGAACAUAAAAAUUCCAGUGCCUGGUUUUUUUUUUUUUUUUGAAAGCCACUUAUCCCAACAAUAAAACUGAUGCUCAAAAUA
rnacentral:lncRNA from 1 species